rnacentral:rRNA from 1 species
GACGAACGCUGGCGGCGUGCUUAACACAUGCAAGUCGAACGAUGAAGCCGGAGCUUGCUCUGGUGAAUUAGUGGCGAACGGGUGAGUAACACGUGUGUAACCUGUCCUUGACGAUGGGAUAACUGCGGGAAACUGUAGCUAACACCGGAUACGACCCUCGGAGGCAUCUCCUGGGGGUGGUAAGAAUUUCGGUCAAGGAUGGACUCGCGGCCGAUCAGCUAGUUGGUUAGGUAAAGGCUCACCAAGGCGACGACGGGUAGCCGGCCUGAGAGGGUGACCGGCCACGCUGGGACUGGGACACGGCACAGACUACUACGGGAGGCAGCAGUGGGGAAUAUUGCACAAUGGGCGCAAGCCUGAUGCAGCAACGCCGCGUGAGGGAUGACGGCCUUCGGGUUGUAAACCUCUUUUAGCAGGGAAGAAGCGAAAGUGACGGUACCUGCAGAAAAAGCACCGGCUAACUACGUGCCAGCCGCCGCAGUAA